AGCGAACGCUGGCGGCAGGCCUAACACAUGCAAGUCGAACGGAUCCUUCGGGAUUAGUGGCGGACGGGUGAGUAACACGUGGGAACGUGCCCUUUGGUUCGGAACAACUCAGGGAAACUUGAGCUAAUACCGGAUGUGCCCUUCGGGGGAAAGAUUUAUCGCCAUUGGAGCGGCCCGCGUCUGAUUAGCUAGUUGGUGAGGUAAAGGCUCACCAAGGCGACGAUCAGUAGCUGGUCUGAGAGGAUGAUCAGCCACAUUGGGACUGAAGACACGGCCCAAACUCCUACGGGAGGCAGCAGUGGGGAAUCUUGCGCGAUGGGCGAAAGCCUGACGCAGCCAUGCCGCGUGAAUGAUGAAGGUCUUAGGAUUGUAAAAUUCUUUCACCGGGGACGAUAAUGACGGUACCCGGAGAAGAAGCCCCGGCUAACUUCGUGCCAGCAGCCGCCGUAACAC
rnacentral:rRNA from 1 species